GAGGAGACGCCCCAGCAGGACCAGCAGCCGUGCGUGUGCAGUGCUGGGGCGAGGGCGGGAGGAGUGGGCCUGAGGGAGGCUGCCUCCGGAAGCGCAGACAGUCGGGCCUGGGCGGGGCCCACUAUGCCCCGAGGGAUGCAGGGAGGGGACGGCGCGGCUGCGCUCACGUGCCCCAUCUCAUGGCUCACCCGCUCCAGUGGUCCGCUUGGGCCUCCGCCUCUCCCCGGCGACAGGCACUCAGGACCCGGGCCGCCCUCCCCCCGGCGAGGGACUGUGGGGCCAGGGGCAUGGCCAGGGCUGUAGCCAGGGCCAUACGUGCUCAGGCUCAGUCCUCACGCCCUGCGCAUCAGUCGGUGCUCCUGAGGGAAGCCGGUGGCGCCCUAGGGAAAAGCCGUGCCCGCCAUCCCCCCACCCUGGGUGACAGCUGAGGCCCCUCAGGGGCCCACGACCCGCAGGAAGCAGCAGCCGCCAGAACACAAAGGAAUGCCAACGAAGGAGAAGGGCUCUGCGAUUCCCACAACCUCGGCGCACUCAGCCAGCCGUCGGUUCUUUCCGUCGACCCCCGGCUCCCAGCCCGGAUGUGUUAGUCUCAGUUGAGGCUCAGUCCACUGGACGCGCUCGUGUGCGCUGGGCGGUGGCUGUGUCUGUUCUGAAAUUGCAGCUCGCGGAGAACUGUGCGCCAGGUAUUUGAUCCUCCAGCUCCCUUUGUCACUCGUUUGUUGAACACAAGAGCGAUGAAGGAAACCUUUAAAAGCUACAUGGAAUUGCUUGUCAGCAUUGCCCUGGACCCCGACACGAUGCAAGCCGUAGAGAAGAGCAACAGUAUAUAGUCUGCUAAGUAGCACUUCCUGGGUCUUUGUUGUUCUUGUCUGUUAGUUGUGCAUUUAAUGUAUGUUUUUUGUCAGUUAACAAAUUCAUGAUAUAUUGAUUCUAUACAAUGGUCAUAUCUUUUCAUGAAUUAUCUGAAUAUUUAAAUAACUGUAUAUUGAAUGUAUUUUUAGUGAUCUCUAGUCAUGGGAAAAUUAUGUAACUAUCUGCUAGUUUCUUUCAGUUUUAAGAAUCUUUAUGAGCUUUACAAUAUUUCACUCAGUGUCUGUAUUACAUGGAGGGUCCAGAUGUCAAUAUAUUGUGUUUUCUAAUAAUUAGAUGAACUGGAUAAUAAUGGUGUAAAGAUUAAAAUUGUAUAUUUGUGUCCAGUAAAAGCUAUAUCACAAAGUAAUUAUUUCCUAAUCAGUUAGUACUAAAAUAAUAUAUGCAUUGUCUUAUAUUCAUUAAUAUUAUUCCUUUAUACUGUUGCUUUAUUAAUCUUUCUUAUAGUAAAGUAGGGAUGAAGUUGAUAUAUAAAUAAACUAUAUAAAAUAUA